UACGGAGGGUGCAAGCGUUAUCCGGAUUCACUGGGUUUAAAGGGUGUGUAGGCGGGCUUGUGAGUCAGGGGUGAAAUCCUACAGCUUAACUGUAGAACUGCCUUUGAUACUAUAAGUCUUGAAUAUUGUUGAGGUAGGCGGAAUACAUCAUGUAGCGGUGAAAUGCUUAGAUAUGAUGUAGAACACCGAUUGCGAAGGCAGCUUACUAAGCAAAUAUUGACGCUGAGGCACGAAAGCGUGGGGAUCAAACAGG
rnacentral:rRNA from 1 species